UACGGAGGGGGCAAGCGUUAUUCGGAAUCAUUGGGCGUAAAGGGCGCGUAGGCGGCUUGGCAAGUCAAAGGUGAAAUCCCUCGGCCUAACCGAGGAACUGCCUUUGAUACUGCUUCGCUUGAGGCCGGGAGAGGGUAGCGGAAUUCCCAGUGUAGCGGUGAAAUGCGUAGAUAUUGGGAGGAACACCAGUGGCGAAGGCGGCUACCUGGACCGGUUCUGACGCUGAGGCGCGAAAGCGUGGGGAGCAAACGGG
rnacentral:rRNA from 1 species